ACAGCAGCCGCCGCGGGAAUACGGAGGGGGCUAGCGUUGUUCGGAAUUACUGGGCGUAAAGCGCACGUAGGCGGCUUGGUAGGUUAGAGGUGAAAGCCCGGAGCUCAACUCCGGAAUUGCCUUUAAGACUGCCGAGCUAGCAGGUGAGAGAGGUAAGUGGAAUUCCGAGUGUAGAGGUGAAAUUCGUAGAUAUUCGGAAGAACACCAGUGGCGAAGGCGGCUUACUGGCUCAUACUGGACGCUGAGGUGCGAAAGCGUGGGGAGCAAACAGGAUUAGAUACCCCGGUAGUCCCUGUCUCUUAUAA
rnacentral:rRNA from 1 species